rnacentral:rRNA from 1 species
GACGAACGCUGGCGGCGUGCUUAACACAUGCAAGUCGAACGGAAAGGCCCUGCUUUUGUGGGGUGCUCGAGUGGCGAACGGGUGAGUAACCCGUGAGUAACCUGCCCUUGACUUUGGGAUAACUUCAGGAAACUGGGGCUAAUACCGGAUAGGAGCUCCUGCUGCAUGAUGGGGGUUGGAAAGUUUCGGCGGUUGGGGAUGGACUCGCGGCUUAUCAGCUUGUUGGUGGGGUAGUGGCUUACCAAGGCUUUGGCGGGUAGCCGGCCUGGGAGGGUGACCGGCCACAUGGGGACUGAGAUACGGCCCAGACUCCAACGGUAGGCAGCAGUGGGGAAUAUUGCACAAUGGGCGGAAGCGUGAUGCAGCAACGCCGCGUGCGGGAUGACGGCCUUCGGGUUGUAAACCGCUUUCGCCUGUGACGAAGCGUGAGUGACGGUAAUGGGUAAAGAAGCACCGGCUAACUACGUG